AACGAACGCUGGCGGCAUGCCUAACACAUGCAAGUCGAACGAGACCUUCGGGUCUAGUGGCGCACGGGUGCGUAACGCGUGGGAACCUGCCCUUAGGUUCGGAAUAACUCCCCGAAAGGGGUGCUAAUACCGGAUAAUGUCUUCGGACCAAAGAUUUAUCGCCUUUGGAUGGGCCCGCGUUGGAUUAGCUAGUUGGUAGGGUAAAAGCCUACCAAGGCAACGAUCCAUAGCUGGUCUGAGAGGAUGAUCAGCCACACUGGGACUGAGACACGGCCCAGACUCCUACGGGAAGCAGCAGUGGGGAAUAUUGGACAAUGGGCGAAAGCCUGAUCCAGCAAUGCCGCGUGAGUGAUGAAGGCCUUAGGGUUGUAAAGCUCUUUUACCCGGGAUGAUAAUGACAGUACCGGGAGAAUAAGCUCCGGCUAACUCCGUG
rnacentral:rRNA from 1 species